rnacentral:rRNA from 1 species
ACCAGACUCCUACGGGAGGCAGCAGUGGGGGAUAUUGCACAAUGGGGGAAACCCUGAUGCAGCGACGCCGCGUGGGUGAAGAAGUAUUUCGGUAUGUAAAGCCCUAUCAGCAGGGAAGAAAGAAGACGGUACCUGACUAAGAAGCCCCGGCUAACUACGUGCCAGCAGCCGCGGUAAUACGUAGGGGGCGAGCGUUAUCCGGAUUCACUGGGUGUAAAGGGAGCGUAGACGGCCGUGCAAGCCAGGAGUGAAAGCCCGGGGCCCAACCCCGGGACUGCAUUUGGAACUGUGUGGCUGGAGUGUCGGAGAGGCAGGCGGAAUUCCUAGUGUAGCGGUGAAAUGCGUAGAUAUUAGGAGGAACACCAGUGGCGAAGGCGGCCUGCUGGACGAUGACUGACGUUGAGGCUCGAAAGCGUGGGGAGCAAACAGGAUGAGAUACCCCCGUAA